rnacentral:lncRNA from 1 species
AUAAGAUCUUAUCUCUGAGUUAGAGUAAACUAUCAAGACUUAAAACUUACUUACUUUACCUUCACCAUGGGACUUGUAACCGUCACUUCUGUCUUGAGUAGUUAGAAGAUAGAACAGUCUAGUCAAGUGCCAUGUCUCUUAUUCUUGAUCAGCUAUAGCUCUGGGGUUUUUGCAGAUUUUCAAAUAAAACUCAGAGAUUCCUUGUAUGAUUCUUUCAUAUCUCUCUUUUGUGGUAUUUCUGGAUCCUUACCAAGGCAGUGAUGGUAGAUGCCUUCUCUCAAGAUAUGUGGUAUUUGUGGUAUAAAGCAUAGUGACAUUAUCUUAUCUCUCACCCUACUCUAAUAAGGCUUUAAUAUCUGGAGCUCAUAGGUGGGAGAUAAAGUAUACAUACUUACAAGACAUGUAUUGCAUAGUCAAACCAUGGAUCCAAAGAAACAAAUCAAUAAGUUUAAUCAAGAUGUGCAUGUGUGGCGAAUGAAUGGUGUAUGGUGAUGAUGGUGAUAACAAUGGUGAAAGUCUAAUUCUACUUUGCUCUUUUGAGGGGAUACAUACCUUCCUUGCUUUUUGAAAUUUUAUGAGGAGAAUGAGAUGCUCUUCUUUUUCUUUUCUCUCAGGUGGGUAUCUUGUACCCCUAAUUCUACUGUCGGACACUUGUCCAUUUUUACCUCUCGUCUCACUUUUUUUCCUUUUCUUUCGAGGUUCCGAGCACUUGCUCCUUUUUAUUUCCUCAUAUUUAUUUAUUUAUUUUUUUAGAGCACUCAUCUCUUGAGAUAAUAUAGCAAGUGGUAGUAACAAGAUAACUUGAGCAUUUAUUUCACAAGGGAAAACAGAAAUAUUUUUGGUUAUUCUCUCUCGGAUUAGGAGUAGAAUAUUUUUGGGUGAUUCUGUAGAUGGAAAUGGAUGGAUAUAUGUGGAUGGUACUUCCGGAGUAGAAGUAGCAUAUAUGAGUGAAUGUGCAAGUGAAAUCUUGAUUUAACCACAUGACAAGCUCCUAAGGGUCUACACAGCUUGACUACACUCAAUGCUCAUAAGCAGUAAAAAGUAAAUGUGUGGCUCAAAGUCUAGCAAGCAUGUAUAUAUGGCUGUGGUAGAAAUUUAAACUCUCAUCAUACAGGAACUCAUCAUGCAACAUUUUAAAGAUUUUCAAAGAUAAAAUUCUCUAGAAUUGUAGCAUCUCUAGGAAUAGAUAAACAACAGCUCAACCUUCCCAUAUCGUAUCCGUUAACAACUUAGACUUCAGAUCAAGUUUUCAUCCCACAAGUUUAGGUCUAGAGCAAGCUUUAAAUUAUAACAGUUAUAUCUAAACUUGAGAGAGAACUUAAAAUGUGCAAACUAGGCAGAGCAACAGGGCUCAGUACUCC